GUGUCUAGCUAUAAACUUCUUAAAUUAAAUAAUCGUUGUAUUAAUAUCAAAUAAUUAUAUAUAAUUAAUUUAAUAGUAUUAAUAAUAGUAUAAUAAUAUUAUAUAAUAUAUAAUAGUAUUAAUAUAAAAUAAUUAAUUAAAUAAUCGUAUUAAUAUAAAAUAUAUUCAUCGUUUUUGUUUAUUAAUAGAAAGUUUGAGUUUAUUCUUUUCAAUUAGAACUAUAGAAUAGAUUCUAAAUUGAUAUCGCGAAAUAGUUCAAUUUUACCAGAACUGGAUAAAAUCGCGUCAGUGUUUGUUAUAAGCAUAUGCGAUAAUUCUCUGAAUGAAAGAAAGCGAGAAUAUUAAUUAACGUACUGAGGAGACACGUUAUUCGAAAGUUGAAGCAGUAAAAAAUUUUUUAAUAUAAUAUAUUUUUAAAAAUUUAAGACAAUUUUUCUAUUGUAUUAUUAAAAUAUAUUAUAGAUUUCCUUUUUUUUUAUGAAGAUUGACAGAAAUUGUGCUAUCUGUGUAAUCGAAAUGCAUAAAAAUUAGGGAACAUUUUAUUACGUAGUUUCUGAUGGAAAUUGUAAACUCCAUUCCUAUAAAAUGUAAACUGUUUAUUUCCAAAGCUCCAAAUUAUAAUAGCUACAAUACUUCCAAAAGGUGAUGGAUAUUCUUUAAAGCACAUUAUAUUUUGUAAAUCACAACUGCAGAUGUUGCAACAUCAAGAAGGAUUAAGAGUCAUCGAGUUAAUAAAAGCGUCUAACCUGCAAAUAUUGGAGCAAAUUAAAAGUUUACAAGAUUAAAUAG